rnacentral:rRNA from 1 species
CGUAGGUGCGAGCGUUGUCCGGAAUUACUGGGCGUAAAGAGCUCGUAGGUGGUUUGUCGCGUCGUCUGUGAAAUUCCGGGGCUUAACUCCGGGCGUGCAGGCGAUACGGGCUGACUUGAGUGCUGUAGGGGAGACUGGAAUUCCUGGUGUAGCGGUGAAAUGCGCAGAUAUCAGGAGGAACACCGAUGGCGAAGGCAGGUCUCUGGGCAGUAACUGACGCUGAGGAGCGAAAGCAUGGGUAGCGAACAGGAUU